GAUGAAGAACGUAGCGAAAUGCGAUAAGUAAUGUGAAUUGCAGAACUCAGUGAAUCAUCGAGUCUUUGAACGCACAUUGCGCCCCCUGGUAUUCCGGGGGGCAUGCCUGUCCGAGCGUCAUUGCUGCCCUCAAGCACGGCUUGUGUGUUGGGCCCCGCCCCCCGGCUCCCGGGGGGCGGGCCCGAAAGGCAGCGGCGGCACCGCGUCCGGUCCUCGAGCGUAUGGGGCUUCGUCACCCGCUCCGUAGGCCCGGCCGGCGCCCGCCGGCGACCCCCCUCAAUCUUUUCAGGUUGACCUCGGAUCAGGUAGGGAUACCCGCUGAACUUAAGCAUAUCAAUAAGCGGAGGA
rnacentral:misc_RNA from 1 species